UACGAGGGUGCAAGCGUUGCUCGGAAUCAUUGGGCGUAAAGGGCAGGUAGGUGGUCUUAUUUGUCUGGGGUGAAAGCCUUGAGCUUAACUCAAGAAGUGCCUCGGAAACGGUAAGACUAGAGUGCUAGAGAGGGUCGUGGAAUUCCCGGUGUAGCGGUGAAAUGCGUAGAGAUCGGGAGGAACACCAGAGGCGAAAGCGGCGGCCUGGAUAGUAACUGACACUCAACUGCGAAAGCGUGGGGA
rnacentral:rRNA from 1 species